rnacentral:rRNA from 1 species
UAGGAUGAGACUAUAUUGUAUCAGCUAGUUGGUAAGGUAAUGGCUUACCAAGGCUAUGACGCAUAACUGGUCUGAGAGGAUGAUCAGUCACACUGGAACUGAGACACGGUCCAGACUCCUACGGGAGGCAGCAGUAGGGAAUAUUGCUCAAUGGGGGAAACCCUGAAGCAGCAACGCCGCGUGGAGGAUGACACUUUUCGGAGCGUAAACUCCUUUUCUUAGGGAAGAACAAUGACGGUACCUAAGGAAUAAGCACCGGCUAACUCCGUGCCAGCAGCCGCGGUAAUACGGAGGGUGCAAGCGUUACUCGGAAUCACUGGGCGUAAAGGACGCGUAGGCGGAUUAUCAAGUCUUUUGUGAAAUCUAAUGGCUUAACCAUUAAACUGCUUGAGAAACUGAUAAUCUAGAGUGAGGGAGAGGCAGAUGGAACUGGUGGUGUAGGGGUAAAAUCCGUAGAGAUCACCAAGAAUACCCAUUGCGAAGGCGAUCUGCUAGAACUCAACUGACGCUAAUGCGUGAAAGCGUGGGGAGCAAACAGGAUUAGAUACCCUGGUAGUCCACGCCCUAAACGAUGCAUACUAGUUGUUGCUCUGCUAGUCAGGGCAGUAAUUCAGCUAACGCAUUAAGUAUGCCGCCUGGGGAGUACGGUCGCAAGAUUAAAACUCAAAGGAAUAGACGGGGACCCGCACAAGCGGUGGAGCAUGUGGUUUAAUUCGAAGAUACGCGAAGAACCUUACCUGGGCUUGAUAUCCUAAGAACCUCUUAGAGAUAAGGGGGUGCUAGCUUGCUAGAACUUAGAGACAGGUGCUGCACGGCUGUCGUCAGCUCGUGUCGUGAGAUGUUCGGUUAAGUCCGGCAACGAGCGCAACCCACGUAUUUAGUUGCUAACAGUUUGGCUGAGCACUCUAAAUAUACUGCCUUCGUAAGGAGGAGGAAGGUGUGGACGACGUCAAGUCAUCAUGGCCCUUAUGCCCAGGGCGACACACGUGCUACAAUGGCAUAUACAAUGAGACGCAAUAUCGCGAGAUGGAGCAAAUCUAUAAAAUAUGUCCCAGUUCGGAUUGUUCUCUGCAACUCGAGAGCAUGAAGCCGGAAUCGCUAGUAAUCGUAGAUCAGCCAUGCUACGGUGAAUACGUUCCCGGGUCUUGUACUCACCGCCCGUCACACCAUGGGAGUUGAUUUCACUCGAAGCCCAAAUACCAAACUGGUUAUGGUCCACAGUGGAAUCAGCGACUGGGGUGAAGUCGUAACAAGGUAACCGUAGGAGAACCUGCGGUUGGAUCACCUCCUUUCUA